rnacentral:rRNA from 1 species
AUUGAACGCUGGCGGCAUGCCUUACACAUGCAAGUCGAACGGCAGCGGGCCCUUCGGGGUGCCGGCGAGUGGCGAACGGGUGAGUAAUGCAUCGGAACGUACCCGGGAGAGGGGGAUAACCGGCCGAAAGGCUGGCUAAUACCGCAUGAACUCGGAGGAGCAAAGCGGGGGACCUUCGGGCCUCGCGCUCUCGGAGCGGCCGAUGUCCGAUUAGGCUAGUUGGUGGGGUAAAGGCCCACCAAGGCGACGAUCGGUAGCGGGUCUGAGAGGACGAUCCGCCACACUGGGACUGAGACACGGCCCAGACUCCUACGGGAGGCAGCAGUGGGGAAUCUUGGACAAUGGGCGCAAGCCUGAUCCAGCAAUGCCGCGUGGGUGAAGAAGGCCUUCGGGUUGUAAAGCCCUUUCGGCGGGGAAGAAAUCGGUCAGGCGAAUAGUCUGGCCGGAUGACGGUACCCGCAGAAGAAGCACCGGCUAACUACGUG